rnacentral:rRNA from 1 species
AAUAGAUACCCUGGUAGUCCACGCCGUAAACGAUGUCGACUUGGAGGUUGUGCCCUUGAGGCGUGGCUUCCGGAGCUAACGCGUUAAGUCGACCGCCUGGGGAGUACGGCCGCAAGGUUAAAACUCAAAUGAAUUGACGGGGGCCCGCACAAGCGGUGGAGCAUGUGGUUUAAUUCGAUGCAACGCGAAGAACCUUACCUACUCUUGACAUCCAGAGAACUUGGCAGAGAUGCUUUGGUGCCUUCGGGAACUCUGAGACAGGUGCUGCAUGGCUGUCGUCAGCUCGUGUUGUGAAAUGUUGGGUUAAGUCCCGCAACGAGCGCAACCCUUAUCCUUUGUUGCCAGCGGUCCGGCCGGGAACUCAAAGGAGACUGCCAGUGAUAAACUGGAGGAAGGUGGGGAUGACGUCAAGUCAUCAUGGCCCUUACGAGUAGGGCUACACACGUGCUACAAUGGCGCAUACAAGGAGAAGCGACCUCGCGAGAGCAAGCGGACUCAUAAAGUGCGUCGUAGUCCGGAUUGGAGU